rnacentral:rRNA from 1 species
GACGAACGCUGGCGGCGUGCCUAAUACAUGCAAGUAGAACGCACAGGAUGCACCGUAGUUUACUCCACCGUAUUCUGUGAGUUGCGAACGGGUGAGUAACGCGUAGGUAACCUGCCUGGUAGCGGGGGAUAACUAUUGGAAACGAUAGCUAAUACCGCAUAAGAACAUUUACUGCAUGGUAGAUGUUUAAAAGGUGCAAAUGCAUCACUACCAGAUGGACCUGCGUUGUAUUAGCUAGUAGGUGAGGUAACGGCUCACCUAGGCGACGAUACAUAGCCGACCUGAAAGGGUGAUCGGCCACACUGGGACUGAGACACGGCCCAGACUCCUACGGGAGGCAGCAGUAGGGAAUCUUCGGCAAUGGGGGGAACCCUGACCGAGCAACGCCGCGUGAGUGAAGAAGGUUUUCGGAUCGUAAAGCUCUGUUGUUAAGGAAGAACGAGUGUGAGAAUGGAAAGUUCAUACUGUGACGGUACUUAACCAGAAAGGGACGGCUAACUACGUG